GUACAGCAACCCGUCCGUCCACAGUCGUAUCCAGGCGUACACAGAGAUGGGAAGACAGGUCCAUGGGCCAGACUGGGAUCCGAGGACCCAGCCCCUUGAUGGAGAAGUCAUUAUGAUGGCGGGAGGAGGCAAGAAACAUGGGCGCUACUAUAUUGGCGACGGCCUUGUAGACACAGCCAGCACUCCCACCCUCUCCCAGAUUCGAGCGAGGAGCACGGCCAAUAGCUCGGCCAUACGCCCACGGCUGUCCGCGUCGCAGCUCCAAGUGCAGGAAAUUCAGGUUAUUUCUUAUUUAUUCAUAGUUCGUUCGUUUUGUACAUAUAUUUGAUUUGCAUUGUAACAUUGUCAUGAAAUAUUGUAGAACCAAAUGCUAGCGCAAAAAGCGGCAUACGAGGUGGCGUUGGCCGAAGAGAGGAGAUUACGACAAGAGAACGAUCAGAAGCAGGCGGCCGAAAUGGCCCAGAUGUACAACUACAUUCGAAGUCUUUUUGUCCAAAUGGGUAAUCCCAUCCCAGCCUUCCCUCUGGUUACUGCUCCUACUACUCCUCCGAAUCUAUCGGUGGCAUCGAAUACGCCAGACUUGUCGCCGGGCAUCUCACCGACGCUCUCACAGCAGUUGUUCCCACCUCAGUUCGGCGGCCCACCACCGUUCGACGACCCACCACAGCCAUAAACUUGUUUAUUUCAAUAUUUAUGGACUUGUGAGCUUCUGGAUAUGUAUUUGUGAACUUCUGGAUAUGUUGUGAACUUGCAGGACUUUGCAUUGGACUUCUGGAUGUGUUUGAAGUUAUUUGUGGCUAGUUGUGAUAUAUAUAUUGUGAUAUAUAGUGCCUGUGACGUUUGUUGUGAUAUA